CGGCGGCCGGGCAGCGGCGGGGAAGCGUCCGCCUGGCCGGCACCACAGCGCCCCCAGCCCCCGCCGCUCCGCGCCUGCACGCCGAGCCCGGCCGGCUCCCUGCGCCCCCACACAAAGUCCCAGCACUCGAUGAAAGAGGCUGGAGUUCCUGUCUUCACCCUUUCUCCGCUGCCUCCCUGCUCUACCAGUCUGUUCUGUGUCCAGGCAACUGCAAAGAGACAUUUCAAAGACUCCUGCCGUGCCAUGUAGAUGUUUUCUCUUGUUAGUUUGGACUGCAGGAUCAAGUCCCUUAUUUGCCGUUUGGCGUGGCAACCAGCCCAAGGAAAUCUUGCUUGACAGCUCUGUUUUCUCAAAGUGCUGCAUUUCUCCAGGCUGGAUUCUGCAAAGAUCCUGCAGGGUACAGAGCUCCUCGGAGCAAGCGAUAAUUUGCUUUGUGUUCCUGCUGGAACGUACCUAUGUAAGAUGGAAGAAAGACCUUGGAAAAUUCGGUGCACGCUGGCAAGAAGACGUACUCGUGGUCACCGGGAGAUAAACAUCUCAUGGUGAGUGUCUGGCACUUGCACCUCGUGGGCUGCAGAACUGCAGGAAGGAGACGGAGGGAAAUACAGAAAUAAAGCAGUGGAGCGGCUGCUCCCUCACCCACCGGUUUCCCUUUCAUUCACUUCCAGAUAAAGCCUAUAAAGCAGCUGGGAUUUUCAGUCCCCUGUCACCCCCCGGCGCUCGCAGCCUUUGCGGGGUGUCCCUUUAGGGUGUCCCCCGCGGGUGCCGGCUGUCCCAGGGCGGCUCAGCCCCGCGUCAGCUCCGGCUCACGGGUGCCAAGGGGAGAGGCGUCCGCCCUGGGCCCUGUCGGAACACGCCGGGCCGGGAGAGGAGCGGCAGCCGGGAUGGAGAGACAGGUGUGUGCGGAGAUGGGGAGAUACCCAGACACAGCGACUCGCCGCCUCCUGCGAAACCAACCUCCGCACGGGGCUCCGGCGCUGGCAGGAGCAGCCAGGGACCGGGUCUUAUUGUCCUAUGUGAUGUUUUGGAUGUCUGAGGUGAUUUUUCUCCCAAUAAUGAGUGUGAGGUUUCAUUUUGGGAAGCACAUCUUUUCUUAGAAACACAACUGCGACUGGCUGAGCACAACUGUGAUUUACUGCAAACACAACUGUGUUUGGGGUUGUUGCAUUUGGAUGCUGGGGUAGGAGAAACAGUAAUUCUGGAUUCAUGCAGAAAGGGAGAAAACAGACACCCUUCGAGGAAGCUGUAAGUUCACUGCAGCUGCCAUACACUGGUGAAACUGAUGCUGCAUCCCACAGGAAACACCUUAGUGUGGAGAAUCUCCUUUCUAAAGAGAGCACAUUCGUGCCUGUCAUGACAUACACGAGUGAACCAAAGUGGUUUGGGUAACAUAUCAAUCCAGUAUUUCUUUAGUAACAUGUAUGAAAUAAACUGAUUGUUUUUCCCCUUG